AUACGGGAGGCAGCAGUGGGGAAUCUUGCGCAAUGGGCGAAAGCCUGACGCAGCAACGCCGCGUGAGCGAAGAAGGCCUUCGGGUUGUAAAGCUCUGUCAGGAGGGACGAAGCCACUCGGGUGAAUAGCCCAGAGGGUGACGGUACCUCCAGAGGAAGCCCCGGCUAACUACGUGCCAGCAGCCGCGGUAAUACGUAGGGGGCGAGCGUUGUCCGGAAUCAUUGGGCGUAAAGCGCGUGUAGGCGGCCGACCAAGUCCGAUGUGAAAGCUCGGGGCUUAACCCCGAGUCUGCAUUGGAAACUGAUCGGCUAGAGUCCGGAAGAGGAGACUGGAAUUCCUGGUGUAGCGGUGAAAUGCGCAGAUAUCAGGAAGAACACCGGUGGCGAAGGCGGGUCUCUGGGACGGUACUGACGCUGAGACGCGAAAGCGUGGGGAGCAAACAGGAUUAGAUACCCUGGUAGG
rnacentral:rRNA from 1 species